ensembl:snoRNA
AUUCUUUUGUGGAUCAUGUGCACGAUGAGGGGGUUUUCAAGCUCUUGUGUGAGACGUGAAACGUCUUUAGAGCAGCGGCACAUGACCUGCCUGAUG